rnacentral:rRNA from 1 species
AUUGAACGCUGGCGGUAUGCUUAACACAUGCAAGUCGAACGGUAACAGGCCUUCGGGCGCUGACGAGAGGCGGACGGGUGAGUAACGCGUAGGAAUCUGCCUCAUAGUGGGGGACAACGUGUGGAAACGCACGCUAAUACCGCAUACGCCCUACGGGGGAAAGCGGGGGACCUUCGGGCCUCGCGCUAUGAGAUGAGCCUGCGUUAGAUUAGCUAGUUGGUAGGGUAAAGGCCUACCAAGGCGACGAUCUAUAGCUGGUCUGAGAGGACGAUCAGCCACACAGAGACUGAGACACGGCCCAGACUCGUAGGGGGGGCAGCGGUGGGGAAUAGUGGACAAUGGGCGCAAGCCUGAUCCAGCAAUACCGCGUGUGUGAAGAAGGCCCUAGGGUUGGAAAGCACUUUCAAUAGGGAGGAAAACCUGUCGGUCAAUACCCGGCAGCUUGACAUUACCUAUACAAGAAGCACCGGCUAACUCCGUGCCAGCCGCCGCCGUAAGAC